CUACGGGAUGCAGCAGUGAGGAAUAUUGCACAAUGGAGGAAACUCUGAUGCAGCAACGCCGCGUGGAGGAUGACGCAUUUCGGUGUGUAAACUCCUUUUAUAUGUCAAGAGAAUGACGGUAGCAUAUGAAUAAGCACCGGCUAACUCCGUGCCAGCAGCCGCGGUAAUACGGAGGGUGCAAGCGUUACUCGGAAUCACUGGGCGUAAGGGACGCGUAGGCGGGAUAUCAAGUCAGGUGUGAAAUCCUACAGCUUAACUGUAGAACUGCACUUGAAACUGGUAACCUAGAGUAUGGGAGGGGGAGAUGGAAUUAGUGGUGUAGGGGUAAAAUCCGUAGAUAUCACUAGGAAUACCUAAAGCGAAGGCGAUCUCCUGGAACAUAACUGACGCUAAGGCGUGAAAGCGUGGGGAGCAAACAGGAUUAGAUACCCUAGUAGUC
rnacentral:rRNA from 1 species